rnacentral:rRNA from 1 species
UACGUAGGGGGCAAGCGUUAUCCGGAUUUACUGGGUGUAAAGGGAGCGUAGACGGCUGUGCAAGUCAGAAGUGAAAGCCCGGGGCUCAACCGCGGGACUGCUUUUGAAACUGUGUAGCUAGAGUGCAGGAGAGGUAAGUGGAAUUCCUAGUGUAGCGGUGAAAUGCGUAGAUAUUAGGAGGAACACCAGUGGCGAAGGCGAUUUGCUGGGCCAUCACUGACGCUGAGGUACGAAAGCGUGGGGAGCAAAUAGG